AAAUCCAACAUUCUACUGUUUCUGUGCCUCCCAGGGAGCCGGAUAUGAGUGGAAGAGAGAGGACCACUUGUUACUAGGCAACCAGCACCCACCUCACCCAUGUUACCAUGGUGAUGAUGAAAGUUGGGCUGAUGGGAUUACCAGCUCCUGCUAAUUGCACAUGAGCACUCAAGGGGCUGUGGGGUCACCUUUUCCUCUCUCCUGCCACCCCAAGGCAUCUGCAUUGUGUGUUAUGCAAUGAGAGAGCACCUUGGCCUGGACCUCAAGAGACCCACGGUCUAGUUCUGCCUUUGCCAUGUCCUAGAGCAGUGUCCUCAGGUAA
rnacentral:lncRNA from 1 species